UUUCUUUUUUCUCUUAUUAAAUGUAUAUAAACAAAAGAAACACAUUUUUUAUUGCAAAAAGUAAAAAAGAAAAUAAAAAAAAAAAAAGUAUGCUAAAAAACAGCAAAAUGAUUAAAAAACUGAAAUUUUAAGAAAAAUAAAAAAAAUUUAAAACUACACCUAUUUGGUAAAUAUUUUUUUCAAAAACACCAUUUUGAUCAAAAACUCGUGAUUCCUGCAAGAUGAGAGGGAGGAAGUAACUCAGGCAUGGUAUAUGGAUGAUAGCAAUGAAGACCAAAGGCUACCCUAUCAUAGGGACCCAAAGGAAUUUGUGUCUCUAGACAAACUUGCAGAUUGCAAAGGGAAGGGCUAAAACUGAAGUUUCAUGCUUUUAAACAACAAAUCAACCAAGUCAAAACUAGUGGUUCAUACAUGAAAAGAGAUUUGAAUGAAAAAGAGAAAAGUCUUCAAGAGUCCCUUCAGCGGAUUGAACUUCUUAAAAAAGAGAUUGCAAACAAGGAUUGAACUUCAUGAUGUGUUGCGUGAUUUACUGGGCAUAAAGAUGCAUAUGACAACUUAUUGGUCGUUGAUUGAAGGCAACCAAAUUGAGGAAAUAUAUAAUAUGGAGGAUUUUUGUGGACAUGAUGUCUGAAACAAGAAAGUUCCCCUUAAUAGCAAUGUAGUAUUAGGUUAUAUAGUUAAAGAAAACCUCUUAAUAACAAUGUACAAUCAGAUGCCUUAAUACCAUGUAUUACAAUUUUUAGACAUAAUGUUAUUGGAUGAAAUUGAUUGUUUUGGUAUAUAUU